AUCAUUCACCACAUCCGCAGAAUCCGACAAAACAAUCUCUUUCUCCAUCAACUUAGCUUCCUCGCUCACCUUGUUCUCCAAUGGCUGCAUCAGCAAAACAGUGGAAGAAUACAAUACAACCUAACUAUAAUAUUUGUGUGUUUAUACAUACACAUACAAGUAUAUUCGACUCUGCCUCAGUGAAAGCAUAUGUAUCUUACAAGUAUGAUGAAGAAAUAUAUCUAUCAACCUCAAAAGCAUAAAGGUGUAAUAACAGUUGGAGAGUGAGAAUCAGAAGCCAUGGAAGAAGAUUCACAAGGCAGGAGAAGAAGGAGAAAAAGUAAUGGACAGGGUUCAA